rnacentral:rRNA from 1 species
AGAAUGAGCGCUGGCGGCGUGGUUAAGACAUGCAAGUCGAACGGUGUUUCAGAUGUAGCAAUACAUUUGAAACGCAGUGGCGAACGGGUGCGUAACACGUGAACAAUUUACCUUUUAGUGUGGAAUAGCUCGACGAAAGUCGGAUUAAUACCGCAUGUGGUUGUCUCUCUCCUGAGAGGCAUACUAAAGCCAGGGACCGCAAGGCCUGGCGCUAUUAGAGGAGUUCGCGGCCUAUCAGCUAGUUGGCGAGGUAACGGCUCACCAAGGCUAAGACGGGUAGCUGAUCUGAGAGGAUGAUCAGCCACACUGGAACUGGAGACACGGUCCAGACACCUACGGGUGCAGCAGUUUCGAAUCAUUCACAAUGGGC